CAGCAGCCGCGGUAAAACGGAGGGCGCGAGCGUUACCCGGAUUUACUGGGCGUAAAGGGCGUGUAGGCGGCCUGGGGCGUCCCAUGUGAAAGGCCACGGCUCAACCGUGGAGGAGCGUGGGAUACGCUCAGGCUAGAGGGUGGGAGAGGGUGGUGGAAUUCCCGGAGUAGCGGUGAAAUGCGCAGAUACCGGGAGGAACGCCGAUGGCGAAGGCAGCCACCUGGUCCACUUCUGACGCUGAGGCGCGAAGGCGUGGGGAGCAAACCGGAUUAGAUACCCCCGUAGUCCCUGUCUCUUAUAC
rnacentral:rRNA from 1 species